UACGAGGGGGGCAAGCGUUGUUCGGAAUUAUUGGGCGUAAAGGGCGCGUAGGCGGUUUGACAAGUCUGAUGUGAAAGUCUAUGGGCUCAACCCAUAGCCUGACAUUAGAAACUGUCGGGCUUGAGUAUGGGAGAGGUGAGUGGAAUUUCCGGUGUAGCGGUGAAAUGCGUAGAUAGUCGGAAGGAACACCUGUGGCGAAAGCGGC
rnacentral:rRNA from 1 species